UGGCGGCCGCGUGGCGGAGGCGGCAAUGGCGGCCCCCGGCAGGAGGAGCCUGGCGGAGCUGAGCCUGGACGAGGUCCUCGCUGCCAGCUCGGAGUCGGAGCCUGACGGCGGCUGGGAGGAGGAGGAGGAGGAGGAGGAGAAGCCCACCCAGGGGGCUGCGAGGCGGCGGAGGCCGAGCGGGAAGGAGGGGAAGGAGCCGCAGGCGCAGCCGGGCAGGAAGAAAGGAAAGGCAUCUGAACACAAGGAUCAGCUCUCCAGGCUGAAGGACAGAGAUCCUGAGUUCUACAAGUUUUUGGAGGAAAACGAUCGCGCGUUGCUGGAUUUUGAUGCCUCCGACAGUUCUGAUGAGGAGGAGCCACUGCACAGACCCCCUGAUACACUGGAGGAAGCAAGUGAUGAAGAUGAUGAAGAAGAGGAAGAACAAGAAAAAGUCAAAAGGAAGAGAGAUUCUUUCAUCACUGUGAGCCUGAAAAUGGUUGAAAACUGGAAAAAAGCUGCAGAGAGAAAUCUGACACCGAGGCUCUUCCAUGAAAUCACUCAAGCCUAUAAAGCAGCUGUAGCAACCACCAAAGGAGACAGUGAGGGUGAUCCCAGCAAGUUCCAAGUGACUGAUACUGCAGUGUUCAAUGCCCUUGUGUCCUUCUGUAUCCGGGACCUCUUCCACUACCUGCAGGAGCUGCUGCUUCCCAGGGCCCCAAAGAAGAAAGCAAAGAUGGUUCUCCCUUCCACCAGCCCACUCUGGGGCAAACUGCGACUGGAUGUAAAAGCGUACCUUGGCUGUACCAUACAACUCCUGUCCUGUUUGACAGAAGCCUCGGUGGGUGCAGCAGUGCUCCAGCACGUCAACUCCAUAGUGCCUUAUUAUUUAUCCUUCCCAAAGCAGUGCCGUGCCCUUCUCAAGCAAACAAUUACUUUGUGGAGCACAGGUGAGGAAACAGUGAGAGUCCUGGCCUUCCUUGUGCUGAACAAGUUCUGCCGCUACAAGAAGGAGGUUUACCUGAGUCCCUUGCUCAAGCAAAUGUACAUUGCCUUUGUGAAGAACUCCAGGUUCACCUCUCCCAACGUCCUGCCCAUGAUCAACUUCAUGCAGCGCACCCUGACAGAGAUGUUUGCCCUGGACACCCACACCUCCUACCAGCACGCCUUCAUCUACAUCCGCCAGCUCGCCAUCCACCUGCGCAGCGCCAUGACCAUCAAGAAGAAGGAGAACUUCCAGUCUGUUUAUAACUGGCAGUAUAUCCACUGCCUGUAUUUCUGGUGCCGUGUUCUCAGCACAAUCUAUCCCAGUGAGGUCAUGGAGCCCUUGAUCUAUCCUUUGACACAGGUCAUCAUUGGCUGCAUAAAGCUGGUACCAACGAACCGUUUCUACCCUCUGCGCAUGCACUGCAUCCGUGCCCUUACCCUGCUGUCUGAGAACACCAGGACCUUCAUCCCAGUGUUGCCAUUUAUCCUGGAGGUCUUCCAACAAGUGGAUUUCAACAAGAAGCCAGGGCGAAUGAGUUCCAAGCCCAUAAACUUCGCCGUGAUCUUGAAGCUUUCCAAUGCCAACCUACAGGAAAAGGCCUUCAGAGAUGGACUCAUUGACCAGCUCUAUGACCUGAUGCUUGAGUAUCUCCACAGCCAAGCCCACAGCAUUGGGUUCCCAGAGCUGGUUCUGCCCACUGUCAUUCAGCUGAAAUCCUUCCUGAAGGAGUGCAAGGUUGCCAACUACUGCAAGCCCAUCCGGCAGCUCCUGGAGAAGCUGCAGGAAAACUCUGCCUACAUCUCCAGCAAGCGCCAGAGAGCCGCCUUCGGCGUGGCCAGCAGGGAGGCUGUGGAACAGUGGGAGAAGCAGGUCAAAGAGGAGGGGACACCUCUGACCAAGUAUUACACUCAGUGGAAGAAGCUGAGAGAGAAGGAGAUACAACUGGAAAUCAGUGGCAAAGAAAGGCUUGAAGACUUGAACUUCCCAGAAAUCAAGCGCAAGAAGCACGAUGAAAGAAAGGAGGAAGAUAAGAAGGAAUUCAAGGACCUCUUUGAGAUGGACAGUGACUCUGAUGAGGAGAACAGUGGAUUCUCUGUAAAAGGUAAAGGCAAAGCCAAGCAGGCAUCAGAUGACAGCUCAGAAGAGAGCAGCAAGGAGUAUGGUGAGGAUGAUGAUGAUGAAGAAGGAAGUUAUGAAAUCGAGGAGGACGAGGAAGAACUGGGAGAGGACAGUGAGUCAGAUGAGGAAGGCAGGGAAGGCACUCAGAAUUCCCAAGGGCCAUGGAAGCAGAGGAGCUGCCCCCGAGGGAUGUCACGCUCCGACCUGGAACAGCUCGCCCAGGGCGGGGAGGACAUCGUGGAGGACCUGGCCUUCUCAGAUGAUGACUGAGCUCCCUCACAGCCUCCCCUCCACGCUGAUCCCUUACAGACUGGAUUCCCUGAGCCUCCAGCACCCGGAGCAGGGGGGGUGCUAAGUACCAUUGGGAGGAGCGGAGCCCCUUCCCCUUCCCUGCUUGGAGUCACACCCAGGAGUUCCUGACAGCCAGGAUUCUUUGAAGGCAAAGAACAGCGUUCAUUCCCUGUCCAGGGCUCUCCAUCUCUGGGCGAGAAAGGGAACAGGAAUGCUGCAGCCAUCCUCCAGAAUCCUUCUCUUCACUCGCGUUGGCUCAGGACAUCUUUGGAUCAUUUUCUUUCC